UCUCCAGAGCCCAACCAAGGCAGCUCCUCCACGUGGUGCCAGCAGGGAGAUCCCUGUGCUGCUCCAGCUGCAGCCCACGGCAAGGAGGUGUUACUUCGUGUGGCCCUACAGCUUGUUGUCUCCUGGAGAAUUGCAAAACCCGGAGCUUCGCUGCAGCUCUAAGAAGCUCAGAAAGAGACAGAACCUGCUGGAAGGCAGACGCCCACGUCGGCGCCGGGCCAGCUCGAACCUUCCAGGCUGUUUGGCAGCCCCGCAGCUGCUUGGCAAGGACACUGCUGACCCUCCCACGUCACAGCCCCGAGCAGCCGGGGCCAGCUGUGUCCAGGCGCUGGGCUGGGCUUGCUGUUUUUCUGCUUUAUCAGGAUCUUGCUGAGCUCG